CACAAACGGCUUCACAAUAAUAAGAUACCAACGUUACAAGAUUACAAGAAAGUAAAUGAUAGGAAGUGAGACAUACACUACUAUAAUGACUAAGAACCAAAGUGUAUAUUAAACACUAAGACCUUUAAUGAAGAUAGUAGAAACACCUACACUUUACGAAGGACACAAGAGGGACUCUAAAUACGUCAAGCACUCCAUGAUCCAAGUAAGCAAACAACAAAAGAGAAUCCACCCUUUUGAUGAACCUAGUUUUGGACAAGUCUCUAGUGAGAGAGAACUUGAGUGUUUCAAGUGUGUUAUACAAUAUUCAACAUUUAAAAACCCACUCAUGAAACCCUAGAAUGUUCCUUUUAUAUUACAUUGCAAAUGGAAGACAAAAUAACCCUUGUACCUUUAAGAGAUAGGCUCCUCUCUAGUGUAGAAUAGUGGAUUGUUUUGGUGUGUAUUAAGCACUUAUCUUGCACACACACUUGGAAAAUUUCAAUGCACACCCACAUAAGUUCAUUUCCAUGAUUAUUCAUGUACCAUCCUCUCCAUAUUGAGAGGAAUUUUCCCACAAAUUCACUGCUUCACUUCCUUUAAUUGGCCGCUUCAAAAGAAAUCACUCAAAAUAGUCUGCAAAACACGAAGAACCCAAGAUCUCAAUAUUAACAAGUCUCGACCAACAUCUUCAUUUCAAACCUCGGCUUCCUAUCCAUCUUGAUAAUUGGUUUUAAUCUUAUCUGACUCAAGCCUCCUUUCAUCAUAUAAGCAUCAUCGUAGACUCCAUAUACUCCAUGCCCUUUCAUUCAUACUCCUCUAUAUAGAUAUAUCAGUUUUGGUGAAGUGGAGUUCAAUUGAGUGGGCUGUUUUGGUAAUGUGGAGCUUCAGUUGUGGAUCUUGGAUGGGAGGGAAUUGGCUUCCAAGACCUUCUUUUUGGACUUGAUCAACUUGCGGGAGAAGUGGUCUACCUUGUUCUUGAUUUUGAGGGUAAUUGGUAACUUGGCUCAUGGCAUUUUGUGGUAAACUUGGAGGGAGAAUUGGUCUACCUUGUAUUUCGAUUAUAGCAAGGGUAAAGGUUGUGAUGAAUGUCAAGAACUCAACAACAACUUUAUCAAGACCAACAACAACACCAACAAUGUCCAACCAAGACUAUAACAACCAGUCCACACGUCCAAGAACAACAACUUCAACACACGACCAUGACCUUGUUCACAACAACAACAUCAAUUUUAAAAGCUCAAAUCUAGAUCGACUCAAAGUGUUAAUGGCCAAGAAAACUAACACUUGAAAUAACAACACAAGAAAAAUAAGUCCUAGACCUAUACACACAACAUUCGUUCAAGAUACAACAACAACAAGUUCAACUUCUCAGCCAAGAACUCAAGUUCAAGAACACGUCUUUUUUUUUCAUAGCAAGAAAGCCCAAGAUUGGUAUUGUAAGAACAAAACCAAAGAUGGAUCUGAUACCAAAUGAUAUAAUACUAACUAGGGAACAGCAAAAUCACACAUCAAACAGUCCAAAAAUUCACUAAGAACCGAGAACCAAAUGAUGACCAUACGUGGAUUCAAGAAAAACACAAGAAUACAAGAUAUAUGGGUGUUUUGAACACCAAAUCAGCAAACCCAAACUAAGAUUAACAACAUAAUAAGAUGAACAAGAGGAGCAAUAACACUAUGAAUAACAACAACAACACAAAUGACUUCAUAAUAACAAGAUACCAACAUUACAAGAUUACAAGAAAGUAAAUGAUAUGAAGUGAGACAUACACUACUAUAAUGACUAAGAACCAAAGUGUAUAUUAAACACUAAGACCCUUAAUGAAGAUAGUAGCAACACCUACACUUUACGGAGGACACGAGAGGGACUCCAAAUCCGUCAAUCACCCCAUGAUCCAAGAAAGCAAACAACAAAAGAGAAUCCACCCUUUUGAUGAACCUAGUUUCAGCCAAGUCUCUAGUGAGAGAGAACUUGAGUGUUUCAAGUGUGUUAUACAAUAUUAAACAUUCAAAAACCCACUCAUAAAACCCUAGAAUGUUUCUUAUAUAUUACAUUGCAAAUGGAAGACAAAAUAUCCCUUAUACCCUUAAGAGAUAGGCUCUCCUCUAGUGUAGAAUAGUGGACUGUUUUGGUGUGUAUUAAGCACUUAUCUUGCACACACACUUGGACAAUUUCAAUGCACACCCACAUAAGCCUAUUUUUGUGAUUAUUCUUGUAUCACUUGUUGAGUAGAAUUCAAGACAAAGAGAGUUAAGUCUGAAUAUUGAGUCACUUUUCCCAAAAAUUUGUCCUUACCUAGCCUUAGAGCCUCAUUACAAGCCUGAAAAAAACCUGCUUGACCUUUUUGGAUCAAUUAUAAGAGAGCAUUAGAUGAUAAGAGCAAGCCUAUAGGUAUGUAGACUAUGUUUAUAACUUCUUUGAUGAGUGUGAAAGUUUUGAUUUUUAUCCACAAAAUAUAAUGAGUGGUGGAUUUCAUAGACUGUGAGGGCAACUUGAGUUACACUUAGUUUUGCUGAUCUCUGUGGGAUAUUAUAUCUAUGUUUGUGUGUGUCCUGAAUUAUAAACAAAGUCGGUUGUAGAUCCUAAUGUGUUGAGCCUAUAUGAGUAAAAUGACAAGUGAAUGGUUGUGUGAAAUCUAGUUUAAUAGUUAAUUGCUUGUCAUUGUGUUAUUCAUGUAUGUAAUUUGGUAUUGAGUUGCUUAAGGACAAGUAAUUAUCUUAAGUUGAGGGUGUUGAUGUUUCGACUUUUGAUAGAAUAUUUUAUAUCUUUUUCAAGGGAUAAUUGUAUGUUUUCAAGCAAUAGAUGUUGUAUUUAAUAGUAGAUUUUAGUGUUUUCAAGUUAAGGAGUUAGCUAAAAGAGAAACUUGGAAAAAUAGCAGAAAAAGGCCACUGACGGUCAAACUGGAGGACCGUCAGCCAUCCAAUAGACCAUCCGGGUGGUCGUCAGAGUAAAACAGAAGGGAACAACUGAAUGAUCUCUAUGACGGUCCAAGUGGUGGACCUUCAACCAUCCAACGGACCACCAACUUGAUCGUCAGGACGAAACAGAACAUGACUUCAUGGAGGAUCAAGUGACGGCCCAUGCGAUGGACCCUCGGGCUAGAGACAGUCCACCAAUAUGGCUGUCAACCAUUAACAAAACCUGACAUUUUGAAACCAUCAGCGAUGGUCCAUACGACAGACCAUCAGGCUUCCGACGGGCCGUCAGCCCGACCUCAACUUGGAAACGGCUUUUCUGAGUUUAAAUUUUAAAUCCUCUAUACCUGAGAACAUAUAAAUGCCCAGUUUAGGUUUUGUUUAUGUAUCUUUUAUCAUAUUUCCAACUUUGAACAUUAUUGUAACGUAGUAUUCUCUAAGAUUCAAGCUAGAACUAUGGAUCUAAACAUUUUAUGCCUAUUCUCCUUUGAAGAUUCAAGAACAAAUCUUGUGAUCUUUGUAAGUAAUUUUUAAAUUUAUUUAUGAGAAAUACAAUGACUUUUUUUUUUCUUCUAUUGAUAUAUGUGUCUAAGCUCCCAUAACUAGGGUUAUGGGAGCCUUGAUGUGAAUAAUUGUUUGAGGUUGUGAAAACAUUUGAUUUCUAUGGUUAACUGAAGUUGUAUAAACCCUUAUUCAUAAUAACGACCUUUCUUGGUUACAAACGUGUGAGCCCAAAAAAAUCACUUGUUCAAAUUAAAAAGUUCUUAUUGGGAAAAGAAGAGGUUUACAUGGAACAUAAGGCUUUAACCUUUGGGUUAAGAGUUGAUGCCUUAACGGGAUCAACCCACAUGAGAAAAUAAGUUGAAUAAAUUAUUGCAUCUUUUAAGUUCUAGAGAAUUGAAAGAUAAUCUGCGCAUCUAGGUUGAGAGACAAAUGGGUAAAUUAUAGGAUUCAAUAACUCUUUCAAUUGAAGUGAUUAAUUAGAAAUUCAAAAUAAGUCACAACCCUAGCUGCGUGAAUAUCUUGGUAACCAUAACUCUAGUUUGUCUACUCUCAUUGAAUUAUUAUUUGCAAUAAGAAUCAUUUACUAGAAUACUUUCUGUUACAAAUAACGAGAUAAAAUUUAUAAAUAAAACUCCCCCUUUAAUUCGGAACAUUUGAUCAACAGUCUAGUAACAACCAUAAUACUUAGUGAACACAGUAUUUUCUGUGGGAUUCAACCCCAACUUAGUUGGGUUAUAUAUUUGACAAUGACCACUUACUCUCUUGUAAGAGGGGUGUAAUUUGGGCGAAUCAUUGGGUUUAGUCUAUUUUGAGUAGCCAUAUCCACCUGUAAUGGCCUAACCACUGCUGUUGCCAAUGAGAAAAUAAUUUCCCUACCAAAAAUAUUUAGAGGGAGUGAUAAAAAAGAGACCCAUAUAAUAGUUGUUGUUGUUUCUUCCUCCAGAUUAAACAUCGGAUCCCACUUCAAAAUCUCAUAGAAUAUGAUUAGUUGCGAUAAUUCAUAUAAAAAUACAAUUUUGAUAAUAAGUGCACGUAAUCCUUUUACUGUGUCGCCAUAAUAAGGACAUGUCUGUUGCUUAGUAAUCCUAUGUUGCAUUCUCUUUUUAAUUCACAUUGUUUUGGAAUUAAUCUUCUUAGAUAUUGUAUAUCUAGCCAACCAUAAGACAAUUUCCCCUGCAUACUGCAAUUUUCAUUCACUAUUAUCUGAUCCAUUUUCUCUUAUUUCCAUAUAAUUCUAGGUUUCCCAUGCAAGUAUGAGAUGGGCUUAAAAGGUAUGAAUUUUUUAUUCAGUGGCGUAGGUUUUAAAAAAAUUGCAUAAUUAAUGUUAGGAGGAUUUGGGUGUGACACCCCAACUUAGGAUUAGGAGUCCCACAUCGGCAAAACAUAAGAGGGAUGUUGGGUAUAUAAGUAAGCAAGCCUUACUCUUUAGUGACGUGUCUUAAAGCCGUGAGGGUCUAGGUCCAGAGCGGAUAAUAUCACUAGUGGUCUGGGUUAAGGGGUCUCUCGAGCCUUUGUGGUUUGGGAUGCCCGUCGCGACCAGGGCCCCGGCUCGGGUCGUGACAAGAAUGGUAUCAGAGCCUCUCCUAUGUCAGCUCUGUCGAUAUAGGCUAGAGUUCAAACUGAGUUUAGGAAAAUUUGGGUAAGUCAAAGCAAACCUCAUUCCUGAGUCUAGGCAAAUCCCAUACGGUGAGGCAAACCUCAACAAGGACGUUGAGUCCAUAAGGGGGGUGUAUGUGGCACCCCAACUUAGGAUAAAGAGUCCCAUAUCAGCAAAAACACAAGAGGGAUGCUGGGUAUAUAAGUAAGCAAGCCUUAAUCCCUAGUGACGCAUUUUAAGGUCAUGUAGGCUUAGGUGCAAAGUGAAUAAUAUCACUAGUGCAUGGUUUGGGAUGCCCUUCCCGGCCAAGGCCCCAGCUCGAGUCGUGACAAGAAUGGUAUCAGAUUCACUCUUGUGUCAGCCCUGUUGAUAUGGACCAGAGUUCAAACUGAGUUUAGGCAAAUACCAGUAGGGCAGCGCAAACCUCAGUCCUGAGUCUAGGCAAAUCCCAUUCGGUUGGGUAAACCUCAUCGAGGAUGCCGAGUCUAUAAGAGGGGUGUAUAUGAUAUCCCACUUUAGGAUAAGAAGUCCCAUUUCAGCAAAAACAUAGCAGGGAUGCUUAGUAUAUAAGUAAGCAAGCCUUACUCCCUAGUGAUACAUUUUAAAGUUGUGCGGGCCAGGGCCUAAAGCUGAAAAUAUCUCUAAAGGGUUGGGCCAUUACAGGGGUCUCUCUGGCCUUCGUGGUUCAGGAUGCCCAUCGCGGUCAGGGCCUCAUCUUGGGUCAUGACAUUAGGUUGAUUUGACCAACCUCGAUCGAAGGUUGGUCGGUGGCUGAGAUAGUCAUAGCCACCGAUUGGACGUGAAAUCUAGAGUUUUGCAGCUAUAGGAUUUUUAGGUAGAGAGCAUUUUUUAUUAAUUUAAUUUACAUGUGGAGAAGAAUCUUUACUUCUUUUCACUUUUUUGCCUAGGAUAUUUUGUUAUUUUAUCUUAAUAAAUUAGGGUUUUUUUAAUAUAUAUGUACAAAUAGAUUAAUUAUAUAUGUUUUCUUGUCAUUGUAAAGAUAUGGUGACUAAACGACUUUAACAGUAGUGACAUUUUAAUUUCAAUAUGGGGAUUGUUUUGGUCAGAUCCUGAGGUAAGGUAUGCUAAUGAAAUUUGUAAUAUGAAAAAGAUUAGAGUAGAUGCAAAUGAGCUGCUUAUAAUGUUGUUUCAUAAAUUAACAUUGGAAUUAGGUGUUGAAAAAGUAGAAAUCGUUGAAUGUAGAGUUAACAAAAAGGGUAGUUAUUAUAUGUUAAAUACUAAUAGUGAUGUUUUAAGAUUUCUUAAUAAUUAGAAGGGUGGAGACAUUAUUGAUUUAUGUGAGAUACAUUAAAUUCGUGUAUCUUUAGUUUUUUAGGAUGAAAAUGAAGAGGAACUUGACCAAAAUUUGUCCUAAAAAAUAGGACAUGUUAGUGUCACAAGUCUAGGGCUGAUGUGGAACUCCCUAUACUUAUCACAAAUCUAUAAUAGUGAUGUGUCAGCCCCCCAAUCCCCUUAAUUAAAAAUGGUAGAGCUGAUGUAUCUUCUCCUCAAUCAUUUGAUGACAAUAAAAAUGGAGAUUUAAAUGAAAAUUAACCACCUAAGGUAAUAAAGAGAAAGAGAUUAUUUCUUUAGAAGACUUAGAUGAAGGUCAAGGUAAUAGCUUCUCUUUAUACCACCUUCAAACUUCUGAUUCUGAUGUGUAUCUAGCUAACACUGAUUCUGAUGGUGAUUCACUCUUUAAUGUUGAUGAAAAUAUUGAUUAUUUGAGUGAUUGGAUGAGGAUUUGAUUCAAACUAGACAGUGUAACAUUCAAUACAAGUUAAAUAAAAGGCUGACAGGGUGAAUCCAUAUGAGAUAUCAUCUUGUAUUGUAUGUAUAGAUGCUGGUUUUGAGGAUAUUUAUAAGAACAAAAAGAGAAUAUUUAAAGGUAAAUUUGGUGGAAAUGACUUUUAUUUUGGUAGCUCAGAUCCUGAUAGUGACAUUACUGAAGAUAGCGAAGAUAUUGUUGAUGAUGAUGAAGUGGUAGAUAUAUUACCUAAAAAUCCAUCUACCAAGAUCUAAUUUACUAAAACUACCAAAAAGGUUUUAUUUCAGUUGUAUAUAAUCUUUUUGAACUGUAUUAAGUUUAGAUAGGCAUUGAAACUUACCCUAUUUAGAAUGGUGUGAAUCUUAAGCUGAAACUUAAUUAAAAGGAAAAGGUAAGGACAAAGUGUAAGAAUAAGGAUUGUCCUUAUGUUAUUCUUGGAAGUCUUGAUGAUAACACUAAAAAUUUCAGUGUGAAUACUUACUUUUCUGUCCAUAGGUAUUGUAAAAGGUCAAAAAACAAGUUGUGUAAUUCUUGAUGGAUUAGUAAACAUUACAAGGAUAGAAUUAUGAGUGAGCUUUCAAUCAAAUUACAUCAGAUUCAAGCUCUAUUAAGUAAUAAGUUGUAUGUUAGUAAGGCAACCUAUAUAAAGGCAAAACUCAGAAUGAUAAAUGAACAUUUGAGUAAUUUCAUGGAAGAGUUUGCUACGAUUAUGCUGAGAGUUGAAGACCACCAAUUAUGAAACCAUUGUAUCUAUUAGGACAUCCAAGAACACAUUUACAAAAAAAAAAAAAUGUUUAUAGGAAUCAAUAUUUGUUUUGGAUCCUUGAAAAGUGAAUAAAAAGAGAAGUGCAUAAGGAUAGGUGGUUUAGAUGGUGUAUUUCUCAAAGAUGUAUGCAAAGGUAUAUUGUUUUCUUGCAUUUUCAAAGAUGGAAAUAAUCAUAUGUACCAACAUGGACAGUAGUUGAUAAAAAAACUAAGGACACAUGAUCUUGAUUUUUUAGGUGCAUCAAACAUGAUUUGAAGCUGACAAAUAUGAAGGUGAAGGACUAACAGUUAUGUCUGAUAUGCAGAAAGUGUAACAUCAUAUUUUAGUGUUAUAUAUAUAUAUAUAUAUAUAUAUAUAUAUAUAUAUAUAUUAAUUUACUGUAAUAAUUGAUAUUUAACAGUUGUAUUUCUAUUAUAUGAUAGGGUCUUUAUUUAGCACUUAUUGAUAUAUCAAAUGCCGAGUAUAGAUAGCGUGCUGGACAUAUAUGAGCCAACUGAAAUAAGGAGUGAAAGGGUGAAGAAAAGAGGAAAAAUUGUUAGUUGGUUGUCAGGGCAUUUUUUAAAGUGUAUUUGUAAGUAAAACUUGAUGAAAUGAGUUAGGAGAAUAAAUUGUGAAUAAUUUGUUCAAGUACAACAAACAGACAUGGUAUAGGACUUUGUUUAAAGAACAUAUCAAGUGUAAUGUGAUUGAGAACAAUAUAUAUGAGACUUUCAAUAGUUAAAUUUUGGGUGUCGGGUUAAAUCAAUUAUCACUAUAUUGGAGGAAAUCAGAGUUAAAGUCAAGAACAAGAUGAAUCAAAUAAGAGAGUUUUCAGAAAAUGGAUCACCAAUGUAUCAUCAAUGUCUAUGAAAGUUUUUACAGAGCAUGGUGAACAUGCAGCCAAAUGUGAGGUGAAGUUUAAUGUUGAUAUUAGCUUUGAGAUUGGUGAUCUAUCAUAUACACAUAUUGUUAAUAUCAAGAGGAAGGUGUGUAAUAGUAGGUCAUGACAACUAAAGAAAAUUUCUUGUGCACAUGCAAUUGCUGCAAUGCAUCACAAGGAAUAAAAUGUGAAGUCAUUUGUUGAUCACUGGUAUAAAAAGAAAACAUACUUGAAGACAUACAAUAAGUUUAUUCAACCUAUGGCAAACAUGAAGAUGUGACCAAAAAGCACGAGACUAGCAAUUGCACCGCUUGAGAUUACUUCAAUACUAGAAAGACCAGGUAAAAAUAAAAAGAAAGUGAUGAGCUUGUUAAGAAGAAGUUUGAAAAAGCUGCAAAGAAGUGAAGAAAAAUGAGAUAUUUUGUGUGCAAGAUUUUUGGAUAUAAUAAUAAAGGAUGUCCAACUUUGAUAAGUUGUGUUUUAAUAGCUUUAUAUUAAUAAAUUUUACUCUUUUUAGUUGUGCUUUUGACUUUAAGAUUUUUUUUGUAGAAAAAUAGUUUCACGGGUAGUUCUAGAACUGCUAGAGCAUUUGCUACUUAUGAGUUUACAGGUGCUGCAAGUGAGAGUCAAUUAAGCGUGGAUGCAGGUUUAAGUAUGAAAGCUAUCACUGUUACCUCAAAUGUUGUGAGGCAUGCAACUAACUCAAAAAUUGGUGUGAGGUCUGUAAAUGCUACAUUAUCUGCAAGAAGGCAUCCCAGUGCUACAACAACUGGUGUGAGUCUUACAACUGCAUUAACAACUGAUGAGACCAAGAUAAGAAGGGCAGAAACAACUUAUUUUGGUGUGUUGUUUGGACCAAGUAGAAGUGUAGAAAGGACUAAGGUGGAAGGAUAGAGUUGUAGUUACUCAAAGACAACUACAAAAAAAGAGCUACGGAAGAUCAAACUCUUCUACAACCACUCAAGCCACAACAAGCACUCAUGCCAACAAGAGUCGGUCCACACCAACUGCCCAAAGCACUCAAGGCACAUAGUAGAUUUAUUUUUGUCUAGCGUAAUUGUUAGUUAUUUUAUUGAACUUGAUCCCAACUGUUUCUAUGACUUCAUUUUAAUUGUUGUUAAGACAAUUUAUUUUUUGUAUUUAUGAAUUUCUGAUGCAUUUCUCAGUAAUUGUAAGACAUAAUUUCAAGAUUUGUGUUUUGACAAAAUGACAAGGUAUUUGCC